GAGGGAAGUCUGGGCUUCCCUGUUAAAGCUGCUGCCCCCGCGACCCGACCCUGGAACAAGCGGAAGAUAAUGGAUGGAUGGAUGGAUGUGUUAUGAUCUCCAAUAAGACUCCAAAGUCGAUCUUUUUGUUCUUCUUAGUAUUUUACUCAUUGCCUGCUAUUGACAGCUGUAGACAUCCAACUCGUUUAAACUGGAAAGAAUGGUUGUGAAUGCUCAUCUUUCAGUGUCAGUGGCGACACUAGACAUCCAAUUCAUUUUGACUGGAAGGGUUGGCAGUAGUCAUUCGCUGCUAGCCUCUCCUAGCCAAAAUGGAUAUGGACGUCUGGUGCCGUCAAUGGCAACCAAACGUUGUGUAAAAAUGAGUGCCCUAUAUAGGAUUAAAAUUGCAAAAUCUUUCACUCCAAGUCAAGAAAAUGAAUGUUUAAUAGUUAACACAUUUUCUCUUUUUAAGAAAUGAACUUCUGAUGGAAGGGAAAAAAAAAAGAGCAAAAGUCACUGACCAUCCACGUCAAAGUGUUUCCAGAUGUCGAUGAACUGGGCGGCUGUGAGCUCGGCCAGGUGCAGGUGAACCAGCUUAUGAAAUGAGGGAGACUGACCCAGACUGGGCACCACCCCUACAUCUGGGACACACAUCUGUUACACCGACAAACACUGCACGCUCUGCAAGACGAACGUGAGCAGCUACGGAAAGAGACACUGCAAGCACCAGAGAUGGGGGUCCAGCAGGAUGCAAACAUUGAAGAGCUGCAGACCAAGGAGGGACCAUCUGAGCCUGGUGAAAUAAACAGUCACCAACAGAAUGAGGAAGGGACACCUGACGCUGGAGAAGAAAGUGGUCAGCUACAGACUGAAGAGGGGACACAUGAAGCUGGAGAAAAAGUGUACAUCAGAAGCGAUGACCGGCCACCAUGCUUUGCUGCCUAAACUGCGCCUGAGAAGUACAUGUACAAACAAGCUAGGAAAAACUGCCAUGCCGUCACCGCAGCUCCAACAGACCAGCAGAUCCUUGGCCAGCUCACGGUGACCUUUGGGAAAUACAAAGGCAAGACCUUCUGUGGCUUAUGGAGGAAGAUGUCUGCUAUGUCAAGUAUCUCCUCGAUAGCCACGUGAAGGAGAGGCGACGACAGAUGGGAAGGUGCGACACCAAAACUGGGGAGUGGUGGCUGAAGGAGCAGCUUCUACGCUACGUGGAUAUGUUCCCUCCGGUGUCAUGCCACUUGGAGCAGAACAUCGACCGGGCCAUCUGCGGGCAUGGCAGCUUCCGGUCCUUCACGUUCGAGGAGAUGUGGCAGUUUUAUGACCUCUCCAAGUUCUUCCGUAACGAUCUCGCCAAAAGCGCAGAAGAAUGGAAGAUGGUCCAGGAAGCCUUCUGCUUCGUGCGUCAGUGGCUACUGAUGACAGAGUAGGACAUCAAUGUCACGUUAAGCGAUUUCGACUGUACAUCCUCACAAAGGAGGAGGAGCAAGCUAAAGGCAAAGUUGCACCAGCUACGCCCCUCACGUCAGCUUGUGCAUCAGCAUUAGCAGCAUUAUCAACAUGACCUGCUGUAGCAAAUACACCAUCUUCAGCAGCAGUAGCAGCAGCACAACAACAAGCACCACCACCACAAGGUGAUGAUGAAGACUGGCAAUGUAAAAUACUACGCGCCUGUGCGCUUUUUGCCCAAUCUGCACAGGGUCACAAAAAAUAUUGAUAAAAAAAAAAAAAAAAAAAAAGACCUACAUGGUCAAGGCGUCCACGUCCAAAGGACUUUCUGGCAGGUCUUUUGAAAACUUUGUAAAUUUUAAGGAGGCGGUCAAUGACCUUGUAAAAUAAAACAUAUUGAGAUGUACUUCAUGUCUCAGCUACUUCUUUUUACACACACAAAUAACCAUAUUGCUCGGCAUAGCAUAUAGUCCUGUAUAUUGUGCACUUUCCCAAUGAGUGCUCACAGAAAAUUAAAAACCUAGUCCUUAUU